CAACAUGUACUUUGUCGUGGUCUACGUCCAGGAGCUAGGGCAUGUGGCACUGUAUGUGGUGGCUGCAGUGGUUAGCGUGGCUUAUCUGGGCUUUGUGUUCUACUUGGGUUGGCAGUGUUUGAUUGCGUUGGGCCUGUCGUUCCUGGACUGUGGGCGCUCGGUAAGCAUCUCUAAAGUCCUGCUGAGCGAAGAUACCAGCGGUGGCAAUACUAAGUAAACACUGGGUCAGCCUGUCUGUCUGUCUUUGCAGGGAGCCAUCAGAGCCAGUGUGUUUCUAUGGUUUACUGUGUGAACAUAGCCACAAGUAUGUGCCGUUGCACAGACUGCAUUUAGGGACCAACUGUUAGUUGGGAAACACUGGGGUGGGUGUGUGGUGUGUGUGUGUGUGUUGUUUCCUUCUGUCUUUGUCAAAUAGCAUGCUGCUAUUAAAUGCUUGGUGGCCUAAAA
rnacentral:lncRNA from 1 species